rnacentral:lncRNA from 10 species
UGAGAUGAAGCCGGUACCUCAGAUGGAAAUGCGGAAAUCACCGUCUUCUGUGUCGCUCAGGCUGGGAGCUGUAGACCGGAGCUGUUCCUAUUCGGCCAUCUUGGCUCCUCUCCCUCUUUAAAGUGAAUGUGAUUUUGAAGAAAGGAGGAAAGAUGUGAAAAGUGAUUGGUCAGCCACAUUCAUGGUGUUGAGAAAAGAAUUUGCUUUUCUGGAACAUAGCCUGUGAUAGCAGAACAACACCUGGCAAGAAACAGGUUAUGUUUGGCUGGAGAGUCAUUGGCACUAUCAAGAAAUAUUAAAGUGUAGAUUUGAGAGAGGAGGAGAAAGACCCAAGCAAAAUUGAAAACCAGGUGGGACCCAGACAGCAGCAAAGCAAUGGAAGCAUGUAUUUUGGUCAAUAUAGAGUUAAUACACAAUUUUGCCCCUCUUCUUCUGAUCAUGGGACUCAUAUUACCAGUCUUCACAUUUCCUUUAAAUUCAGGAAUCAGGAAGAAUUUCCAGAGUUUGCAGAUGGACACAUUUGCUGCUUCCAUUCUAAACAUAAGUUAGAAGAACCUUUCAACUGGAUUCCAACUUUAAUAUGUCACAAACAUAAAAAAGAAAGCUAUUUCCUGGACUUUUCUUCAUUAGAAAUUAAUAGAUUGUCAAUUGGCAUAGGGAAAAGAUAAUCAACAGAUGCCAACCCCAAGUUAACAGAAAUGCUAAAAUUAUAAGACAAAGACUUCAAAAUAGCUAUUUUAAUUUUGCCUAGUGAGGUAAAUGCAAACAUGCUCACUAUGAAUGAAAACAGGUAAUCUCAGCAGUCAUGUAAACUAUAAAAAUAAGCAAAUAUAAAUUUUAGAAUUAAAACACAAUAUCUAAAAAUAAAUUCACCUGAUAUUCUCAAUAGAAAAAAUGGUAAUGCAGAGAAAAAUGUAUGAAAAUAUGGCAAUUUGAAGAAGAGAGAAGAGAUCAAUAAAAUAAAUAAGUAUAUCCUUGGAGACCUGUGGAUGUUUUUUGAAAAGUGAAUCAUGUAAGUAAUUGAAGUCCCAGAAGAAAAGAAAAGAAGAGGAUGAGCAGAAAAAAAUUUCUGAAAAAAUAUCUGAAAGCUUAAACACUAUAAUGAAAGACACACAUUUACAAACUCAAGAAGUUUAGUAAACCAAAAACAAUAAAAUCAAAGAGAACUGUGCCAAGCGACAUCAUUUUCAACCUGCUGAAGAUCUUGACAGCAGUCAGAGAAAAAAGACACACUUAUUACACAGAGAGGAACAAUACAUUAAAUACUAGCACACUUCUCAUCAGAGAUCAUUAAGCCCAGAAGACAGUGGAAUGAGAUCUUUAAAGUGCUGAAAUAAAAUAAAUGUUGAUUAAAAAAUUCUAUAGCU